rnacentral:piRNA from 1 species
GGAUAAACCGUCUGUGAGUGGGA